rnacentral:rRNA from 1 species
GGGNGANAGCCUGACGGAGCANCGCCGCGUGAGGGAUGANGNCCUNUGGGCNGUAAACCUNUUUUCUCAAGGAAGAAGAUCUGACGGUACUUGAGGAAUAAGCCCCGGCUAAUUCNGUGCCAGCAGCCGCGGUAAUACGGGAGUGGCAAGCGUUAUCCGGAAUUAUUGGGCGUAAAGNGUCCGCAGGCGGCNUUGUAAGUCUGUCGUUAAAGNGUGGAGCUUAACUCCAUUUCAGCGNUGGAAACUACANGGCUUGAGUGUGGUAGGGGCAGAGGGAAUUCCCGGUGUAGCGGUGAAAUGCGUAGAUAUCGGGAAGAACACCAGUGGCGAAGGCGCUUUNCUGGGCCAUAACUGACGCUCAUGGACGAAAGCCAGGGGAGCGAAAGGGAUUAGAUACCCCNGUAGUCCUGGCCGUAAACGAUGAACACUAGGUGUNGGGGNAAUCNACCCCUUNUGGGUNG